rnacentral:ncRNA from 1 species
AAAGAAGCAAUAGCGAAAUCGUGGCCCUAUGAACAAAAACUUGAUAUUAAGGCCUUUUAGGUGGAUAAGGUUACUCAACAAACUAAAGUCCAAAGGACAAACGUAAGCCUAAGUAGGUAAAUCAAGAGGGUAAACGAGGAAAGAG